rnacentral:tRNA from 1 species
UGGUGUGUAGCUCAGUGGUAGAGCACAUGCUUAGUGUGCAUGAGGCCCUGGGUUCAAUCCCUGGCACCUUAA